AGGGUUUGAUCCUGGCUCAGAACGAACGUUAGCGGUGUGGAUUAGGCAUGCAAGUCGAGCGAGAAAGCCUUCGGGUGAGUACCGCGGCGCAAGGGUGAGUAACACGUAAUCAACCUACCCCCCAGACUGGAAUAAUCGCGGGAAACUGCGGGUAAUGCCAGAUGGUUUCAGCAGUUGGCAUCAACUGCUGAUUAAACGGCGGCUUCGGCUGCUGCUGGGGGAGGGGGUUGCGGCCUAUCAGCUUGUUGGUGGGGUAAUGGCCUACCAAGGCAAUGACGGGUAGCCGGUCUGAGAGGAUGGUCGGUCACACUGGGACUGAGACACUGCCCAGACUCCUACGGGAGGCUGCAGUCGAGAAUCUUCCGCAAUGGGCGAAAGCCUGACGGAGCGACACCGCGUGCAGGAUGAAGGCCUUAGGGUUGUAAACUGCUGUCACGCCAUAGGAAUGGCGCGUUAUUAAUAGUUGCGCGUUUGACUAAAGCGAAAGGAAGCACCGGCUAACUCCGUGCCAGCAGCCGCGGUAAGACGGAGGGUGCAAACGUUGUUCGGAAUCACUGGGCAUAAAGCGCAUGCAGGCGGCCAUCUAAGUCAGGUGUGAAAUCCCACGGCUCAACCGUGGAACGGCAUUUGAAACUGGAUGGCUAGAGUACGGUUGGGGUGAGUGGAACUCCUGGUGGAGCGGUGAAAUGCGUAGAUAUCAGGAGGAACACCAGUGGCGAAAGCGGCUCACUGGACCGUAACUGACGCUGAGGUGCGAAAGCUAGGGUAGCGAACGGGAUUAGAUACCCCGGUAGUCCUAGCCGUAAACGAUGCGUACUAGGUAGGGGGGGCUCCUAUGGUCUUCUCUACCGGAGCAAAUGUGUUAAGUACGCCGCCUGGGGAGUACGCUCGCAAGAGUAAAACUCAAAGGAAUUGACGGGGGAUCACACAAGCGGUGGAGCAUGUGGUUUAAUUCGAAGCAACGCGAAGAACCUUACCUGGCCUUGANNNNNNCCAGCGGGUAAUGCCGGGGACUCUAGCGAGACUGCCGUUGUUAAAACGGAGGAAGGUGGGGACGACGUCAAGUCAUCAUGGCCCUUAUGGCCAGGGCGACACACGUGCUACAAUGGCCGGUACAAAGGGAACCAAGACCGCGAGGUGGAGGCAAUCCCACAAAGCCGGCCCCAGUUCGGAUUGCAGGCUGAAAUUCGCCUGCAUGAAGUUGGAAUCGCUAGUAAUCGCGUAUCAGCCAUGACGCGGUGAAUAUGUUCCUGAUCCUUGUACACACCGCCCGUCAAGCCACGAAAGCGGGGAGCGCUCAAAGUCGCUUUGUCCAACCUUCGGGAGGACGGCGCCCAAAGUGAGAUCCGUGAUUGGGACUAAGUCGUAACAAGGUAGCCGUAGGGGAACCUGCGGCUG
rnacentral:rRNA from 1 species